UCUUACUGCUCCUUUUUCAUGGAUCUUGUCUGGGUUGACUGGAGUCCUGGGGACUUGGCUAAAUCUGGGCAUGCAGAGCAGCAAGGGCAUUUCAGUGGUACCCUGGGAAGACCCCACCUGGGGCCUGCGCUUAGUGAGAUGUCACCAGCCAUCCAAAUGAUGCAGAUGGUAGACUGUCUCUGGGUUGGGUCUUGGGGCUACUCAGGACUUUUCCUCAAUGUGUGGAGGUCUGAAGAGAGGUACUAACUUGGCAGAUCUUCAUAUUAUGUUUAAGUGUCUUAUUUCUUUAGCCAAGAAGGGAAGACCAUGGGCCAGCCUGUGCUUCUUGCUGAACUGUGGGCUGACACCUGCCAGUUGACAUCAGAACUCUGGUCUCAGUUUUCAGGAGACAGACAAGGCGUGGCAUGGAGGAUGUCUGGCGUUGGCAGAACUGGGCAGACGAGGCCUGUUGCUCCCCUUGCGACUCAAGGAGGUGGUCACUGUGAUCCUGAAGGCAUUGAUCUACGAUGAGAAGCGGGGUGCCUGCAGUGUGGGUGCCAAUGUGAGGGAUGCUGCCUGCUACGUGUGCUGGGCCUUUGCACGUGCCUACGAGCCGCAGGAGCUGAAACCCUUUGUGACCACCAUUUCCAGUGCAUUGGUCAUUGCUGCAGUGUUUGACCGAGAUGUGAAUUGCAGAAGAGCAGCCUCUGUAAGUUCCCUUGUUGGAUGUGCUCCUCCCCUGCCUGGAGGUGGGGGCCUGACUGUGGCCCCAUCAGCUCCAUGACACACAGCACAUAUUCCCUGGUGU